CAACGCCAUCAACAACAAUGGUUCCCCAGCGCCGCGACCCGAGGCUGUGCUGCUGUCCCCGGGAGCUGCAGGAGCUGCCUCCGUGCCUUCUCCCUCUGCAUCACCGCCGGCAACUGAAUUCGCAGUGGUGCAGGCAGCGCCGGCGCGGGCCGACCCCGUUCCGAGGCCACCGCCCCCGCCUGUCCCGCCGCUCCCUGCCGACCCGAUUGCAGUGCAAGAGCAUGCUGAGAAUGGUGCUGAGCCCACGGGACCGCCUCAAGAGCCGACACCAGCGCCCAUGCUGCCCACACCACCCACCCCAGUUGUCCCGCAGGUUUCCGAAGCUCCGUCAGUCGCAUCAGACCCUGCGAAGAGCCUGUCCUUCCGUGGAGGGGGCACGGCCCGCCAGCUGACUGCAGGAGCGAGAGACACAGAGCAAAGCAAGCAUUGCUCGCUUGCUCUGGGGACAAGAAACCCUCAGAUCUGGGAUGACAAUUCCUGAGAAAGCUUCUCUUCCCGAGCUGCAAGUGUGCACCGGUGCUGCUGGGGGGAGGAAGCAUUGGGUCAUUUCUGCUCUCAAGACGCUGGCAGCAUGGUCCUGCCAGGUUGUGAGCACACAGAGCCCGCCUCACGGGCUGGUUCUGGGCCGUUUGGCUCAUUUCCCUGGGCCGGGGCCACCGCCCCGUCCAGUGCUGGGUUUGGGGACUUUGCUUUCCCCACAGGGACCUGGGCCACCAUUCUGUGGGCCAGGUCUGGGUUCUCUGGUCCGCCCACCAGGACCAGGGCCACCCAAGGGUCCUAGAGACCCUCUGCUGCUGCUCUUCUUUGGGAAAAAAAAAAAAAAUUAAUAAAGAAAAGUGGAAAGAGCUAGCAGCUCAAAAGUAUUGAAAAGCCAAAAAUUAGCCUCAGCCCAAGUGGUUCAAUGAAGGGCUGUGGCCAGGGCAUUCCAGAAAUUUUCUCUGAAUUGUUUGAUGACUGUCAAUGAAUUGUUUGGUAAUUCUUGUUCCCUUUAGCAGUUCUUUGUUUCAGAAUUCUGCAAGCCUGUUUCAGGACCAAAGGGGACUUCCAGAGAUGUCAAAGAGGAACAUCUUCAGUCCAUGGACUCUGUCCUGAAACUCAGCUGUUUGGACUUGAAACAAUGAACUUUGUUUGCAUGAGUUUUUUGCAUUUUCUUAUAUUUUAAGAUUGUUUUAGUGAUAUGAUAGAAUAUGAUGUUCUACAAGUGACGAAUUUUCCUGAAUGUUCUACAGGUGAAGAAUUUCCCUGACCAUUCCACAUCAGCAGUUGAUUGAGAUUUUGAUUGGCAACAGAUGAACCUCAAGAGGUGUUUGUUCUCUCUUCUGCAAGGGCCCAGUAGAAGGGAUGGCAAACAUUUCUUUUUCUAUUUAAUUUAAUAAAUUUUAAAGGGUGAGAUGUAGCCGUGAUAUUUUAGUGAAAAAGCCUCUGCUAGGAUUUUUCCUGUCCUGAGGUGCUGAGAGCCUCAGGAAAGAAAUGUAAACAAUAACUAUCUGCUGCUGUGGAAUGCCACAGGUGCAUCUUCCACUGGUCCAAGUGGAUUGUUUUCAAUCAGUGACCAAUCACAGCCACCUGUGCCAAGGCUGUGAGCAGUCACAGGAUUUUUGUUAUUCAUUCCUAUUCUAUUCUUGUCUUUGUAGCCUUCUGAUCUUCUUCUCUCUGUUCUUUUAGUAUAGUUGUAAUGUAGUAUUUUAGUAUAAUAUAUAACAUAAUAAAUCAGCCUUCUGAUGAAAA